GCUCAUGUAGCUCAGUGGUAGAGCAGCGGAUUGCAGUUAAUCAACUUCUCCGCAGGUCAUCUGUUCGAUCCAGGUCAGGAGCU